AAGACUAUAGACCUGCGGAGUACCUGCGGAGGGAUCAUUAAUGAAAUCAUAUUCUCCUUUGGAGUUUCUUCUAGCUGAUGCGUCUUUUGGCUGCACGCUGUUGUCACUCUUUAGGGGUUAUAUUUCCACAAACCCUUCUGUGCAUAUUGGGAGGCUUUAUUGUCCUCUCCUAAUUCAUAUACUCUAAUGUUUAAUCAUGUCAUACAAUGUUAAAUACAUUAAACAACUUUCAGCAAUGGA
rnacentral:misc_RNA from 1 species